AUGACCCGAGGGAAUGGCCUGGAAUUGUAUCCGGGGAGGUUUAGGUUGGGUAUUAGAAAAAGGUUCUUCCCCCAGAGGGUGGCUGGGCACUGGAACAGGCUCCCCAGGGAAGUGGUCACAUCACCAAGCCUGACAGAGUUCAAGAAGCACCUGGACAACGCUCUCAGGCACGUGGGCUCUUGGGGCUGUCCUGUGCAGGGCCACGAGUUGCACCCGAUGGUCCCUGCGGGUCCCCUCCGACUCAGGAGAGGGUGUCACACCCCCGGCUCCCCCGCGCCGCUCCCAGCGCCUCCCGCCAGCGCCCCCUGCCGCGCCCCGCCGGCACCGCAGCAAUGGCGGCCCCCACGGCGCCCGCGUGACUCCGACGCCGCUGCCCGGUGUGAGGUGGCCCAAAACAAGUGUAAGAGACCAGGAAGAAACUUGCCUGGAAUCACCAAGAGCAUAAAAAGACAGGAGGAUGGAAAUGAGGUGGAGUCUGGAUAA
rnacentral:lncRNA from 1 species